rnacentral:rRNA from 1 species
GGCUCACCUAGGCGACGAUCCCUAGCUGGUCUGAGAGGAUGACCAGCCACACUGGAACUGAGACACGGUCCAGACUCCUACGGGAGGCAGCAGUGGGGAAUAUUGCACAAUGGGCGCAAGCCUGAUGCAGCCAUGCCGCGUGUAUGAAGAAGGCCUUCGGGUUGUAAAGUACUUUCAGCGGGGAGGAAGGCGAUAAGGUUAAUAACCUUGUCGAUUGACGUUACCCGCAGAAGAAGCACCGGCUAACUCCGUGCCAGCAGCCGCGGUAAUACGGAGGGUGCAAGCGUUAAUCGGAAUUACUGGGCGUAAAGCGCACGCAGGCGGUCUGUCAAGUCGGAUGUGAAAUCCCCGGGCUCAACCU